rnacentral:tRNA from 1 species
GCUUUAUUAGUGUAACGGUAGCACACUCGGCUCGUAUUCGAAAGGUCCAGGUUCGAAUCCCGGCGAGAGCU